rnacentral:lncRNA from 1 species
GUGGGGAGGAAGUGGUGGGACCAGGAGCAGAAGGGGAGACAGCGGCAGCCUCAGACCCAGAGGACGGCAAGGAAAGCAAAAUAUGGAUGGCUGCCAGAACAAACGCAGAGCCUUUUGGGAAAGUGUUUCGAGGCCUCAUGAGCAAGUCGGAGAACAAAGAGUCUCAGUUGUAUCCUCGAUAACUGGACACCACUGUUUCUGUGCCCUGAAAACGGAUCAAAAGGAACCAGAGCCCCCUUUUUAAAAUCUUCUAAAUAGAGGACGUAUGUUUCUGCAAAUCCUUUUCCAUGUGACUGAUCAGAAGCGACCCGAGCAAACCCAAGAAGCAUUAGAUGAACCUUAAGCAACCUCACCCCAGUGGAAGCUGCUGAAUUGAGAGGUCAGUGGUAAAAAUUUUCUUCUGAAACAGUGCUGUAGAUAGAUAAUUGGAAGGAAGUGAUACAAAAAUAAUCAUAGAAUCUUCUAGGUUGAAAGGGACCUUUAAGAUCAUCCAGUCCAACCAUCAACCUAACCCUGUCAACCUGCCUUUUAAAUGCAUCCAGGGAUGGUGCCUCAACCACUUCCCUGGGCAGCCCAUUCCAGUGCUUAAU